GAGGCCCCGCCCCACCCGCGAGCCGCAGCCGCAGCCCCACAGCUUCUGGGGCUGGGGCCCCGGCAGCCGGGCAGCCCGGCCUGACCUCGACCUCCGCCGUGCGGGCCCGACCGGUGAGUCCAGCCCGGCAGUCGCAGGACCCGGCCGCCAGCCCCUCCCUCCACCUCUCCCUGCCCCCAGCGCCAGGCGCGGGCUGCGCUCGGUGGCGGCGGCGGGGCCCGCAGGCGGCCAUGGCGGCAGGCGCCGGGGCCAGGUCCGCGCCGCGCUGGCUGAGGGCGCUGAGCGAGCCGCUGAGCGCGGCGCAGCUGCGGCGACUGGAGGAGCACCGCUACAGCGCGGCGGGCGUCUCGCUGCUCGAGCCGCCGCUGCAGCUCUACUGGACCUGGCUGCUCCAGUGGAUCCCGCUCUGGAUGGCCCCCAACUCCAUCACCCUGCUGGGGCUCGCCGUCAACGUGGUCACCACGCUCGUGCUCAUCUCCUACUGUCCCACGGCCACCGAAGAGGCACCAUACUGGACAUACCUUUUAUGUGCACUGGGACUUUUUAUUUACCAGUCACUGGAUGCCAUUGAUGGGAAACAAGCCAGAAGAACAAACUCUUGUUCCCCUUUAGGGGAGCUCUUUGACCAUGGCUGUGACUCUCUUUCCACAGUAUUUAUGGCAGUGGGAGCUUCAAUUGCCGCUCGCUUAGGAACUCAUCCUGACUGGUUUUUUUUCUGCUCUUUUAUUGGGAUGUUUGUGUUUUAUUGCGCUCAUUGGCAGACUUAUGUUUCAGGCGUGUUGAGAUUUGGAAAAGUGGAUGUAACUGAAAUUCAGAUAGCUUUAGUGAUUGUCUUUGUAUUGUCUGCAUUUGGAGGAGCAACAAUGUGGGACUAUACGAUUCCUAUUCUAGAAAUAAAAUUGAAGAUCCUUCCAGUUCUUGGAUUUCUAGGUGGAGUAAUAUUUUCCUGUUCAAAUUAUUUCCAUGUUAUCCUCCAUGGUGGUGUUGGCAAGAAUGGAUCCACUAUAGCAGGCACCAGUGUCUUGUCACCUGGACUCCACAUAGGACUAAUUAUUAUACUGGCAAUAAUGAUCUAUAAAAAGUCAGCAACUGAUGUGUUUGAAAAGCAUCCUUGUCUUUAUACCCUAAUGUUUGGAUGUGUCUUUGCUAAAGUCUCACAAAAAUUAGUGAUAGCUCACAUGACCAAAAGUGAACUAUAUCUUCAAGACACUGUCUUUUUGGGGCCAGGUCUUUUGUUUUUAGACCAGUACUUUAAUAAUUUUAUAGACGAAUAUGUUGUUCUAUGGAUGGCAAUGGUGAUUUCUUCAUUUGAUAUGGUGAUAUACUUUAGUGCUUUGUGCCUGCAAAUUUCAAGACACCUUCAUCUAAAUAUAUUCAAGACUGCAUGUCAUCAAGCACCUGAACAGGCAGGGUCUCGCUGUCGCCCAGGCUGGAGUACAGUAGUACGAUUUCAGCUCACUGCAACCUUUGCCUCCAGGGCUCAAGUGAUCCUCCCACCUCAGCCUUCCCAGUAGCUGGGACUACAGGUCUCGGAAAAUGAACACAGGCAGAAGAUUUCGACAACAAAUACAUCGAGGAACCACGAAAGGCGCCCUCGGUGUGGAGCGGGCAGGAGGGAGACGCGCGGAGCGAGAGGCCCCAGGCGACGCCAGGAGGUAAGAUUUACCUCACUGGUCAAGGGCAGCCUCUGGCCUGGACACCUGCGAUAGACAGACGCCUCCCCUGCUCACACCUGAAACACA